GUUCGAAACAUCCGGUGGCGGCCGGAUGUCUGCCGGGAAUGGUCUUCCGGCACUGAUGAGAUAGACCGAU
rnacentral:hammerhead_ribozyme from 1 species